GUGGGGAAUCUUAGACAAUGGGCGCAAGCCUGAUCUAGCCAUGCCGCGUGAGCGAUGAAGGCCUUAGGGUUGUAAAGCUCUUUCAGGGGGGAAGAUAAUGACGGUAACCGGAGAAGAAGCCCCGGCUAACUUCGUGCCAGCAGCCGCGGUAAUACGAAGGGGGCUAGCGUUGUUCGGAAUUACUGGGCGUAAAGCGCACGUAGGCGGACAUUUAAGUCAGGGGUGAAAUCCCGGGGCUCAACCCCGGAACUGCCUUUGAUACUGGGUGUCUGGAGUAUGGAAGAGGUAAGUGGAAUUCCGAGUGUAGAGGUGAAAUUCGUAGAUAUUCGGAGGAACACCAGUGGCGAAGGCGGCUUACUGGUCCAUUACUGACGCUGAGGUGCGAAAGCGUGGGGAGCAAACAGGAUUAGAAACCCGUGUAGUCC
rnacentral:rRNA from 1 species